GGAAACGACUGUUAAUACCGCAUAAUAUCUGUGGAUUAAAGGUGGCUUUCGGGCUGUCGCAGAUGGAUGAGCCUGCGUUGGAUUAGCUAGUUGGUGGGGUAAGGGCCCACCAAGGCUACGAUCCAUAGCUGAUUUGAGAGGAUGAUCAGCCACAUUGGGACUGAGACACGGCCCAAACUCCUACGGGAGGCAGCAGUGGGGAAUAUUGGACAAUGGGGGCAACCCUGAUCCAGCAAUGCCAUGUGUGUGAAGAAGGCCCUAGGGUUGUAAAGCACUUUAGUUGGGGAGGAAAGCCUCAAGGUUAAUAGCCUUGGGGAGGACGUUACCCAAAGAAUAAGCACCGGCUAACUCCGUGCCAGCAGCCGCGGUAAUACGGGGGGUGCAAGCGUUAAUCGGAAUUACUGGGCGUAAAGGGUCUGUAGGUGGUUUGUUAAGUCAGAUGUGAAAGCCCAGGGCUCAACCUUGGAACUGCAUUUGAUACUGGCAAACUAGAGUACGGUAGAGGAAUGGGGAAUUUCUGGUGUAGCGGUGAAAUGCGUAGAGAUCAGAAGGAACACCAAUGGCGAAGGCAACAUUCUGGACCGAUACUGACACUGAGGGACGAAAGCGUGGGGAUCAAACAGGAUUAGAUACCCUGGUAGUCCACGCUAUAAACGGUGAGUACUAGCUGUUGGAGUCGGUGUAAAGGCUCUAGUGGCGCAGCUAACGCGAUAAGUACUCCGCCUGGGGACUACGGCCGCAAGGCUAAAACUCAAAGGAAUUGACGGGGACCCGCACAAGCGGUGGAGCAUGUGGUUUAAUUCGAUGCAACGCGAAGAACCUUACCUGGUCUUGACAUCCUGCGAACUUUCUAGAGAUAGAUUGGUGCCUUCGGGAACGCAGUGACAGGUGCUGCACGGCUGUCGUCAGCUCGUGUUGUGAAAUGUUGGGUUAAGUCCCGCAACGAGCGCAACCCCUAUUGAUAGUUACCAUCAUUAGGUUGGGUACUCUAUUGAGACUGCCGCUGACAAGGCGGAGGAAGGUGGGGACGACGUCAAGUCAUCAUGGCCCUUACGACCAGGGCUACACACGUGCUACAAUGGGUAUUACAGAGGGCUGCGAAGGUGCGAGCUGGAGCGAAACUCAAAAAGGUACUCUUAGUCCAAGGGCGAAUUCUG
rnacentral:rRNA from 1 species